AGGAGUGAUCAUACAAGUACUAAUACACCGGAUCCCAUUGGAACUCCGAAGUUAAGUGUGCUUGGGUGAGAGUAAUACUAAGAUGUGUAAUGACCCGAAUUUCCAUUAAAGAUAUUA
rnacentral:rRNA from 1 species